AAACCCAUAAUCAAUGUCUGGAUCCCUGAUGAACUGAGACUCACAUUGAUCUUUCAAUAUGUCCAAGCCUCCAACUGGAAUGAUUUGGUUAUCCUGCAGGAAAUGCUGGAGUCCUUCAUCCGAAUGGUAAAUGGCACUUGUGACAAAAAUCAAAGUAACUAAAAAAGAAUCUGGUUGAAACCUCAGUAACAGUUGGCCUGUCUACUGCCUCACACUAACAAGGGGGAGCUAAUAAAACCGAGGUUAGAACACACAAUGUGGAAAUGAAAACCUUAUUCUUGUCAAUGGAUGGAGGGUGGUGACCCCCACCUUUACAAGUGUCUGUAAUUCUCACUAGCAGUAUAUUAGAGGGCAAAAGAUUUGAACAGACACAUCAGAAAAGAAGACAUACAAAUGGCCGCUAAGCACUUGAAAGGAUUCUGAACACCAUUAGUCAUCAGUGAAAUGCAAAUUAAAGCCAUAAUGAAUGGCGCUAUACAUUUUCAGAAUGGCAAGGAUUGAAGACCGAAAAAAAUCAAGCGUUGAGGAGAGUGACAAAUGGGGAGACAGCCGUGGUGCAUGAUCGCCGAAUAAAUACCAUGUGAGGAUACAGCAAGAAGGUGGCCAUCUACAAGCCAAGGAGACAGGCCUCAGAAGAAACCAACCCUUCUUACACCCUGGACUCAGACUUCUAAUCUCCAGAACUUGUUAAUGCACAAGGUCUUGUGUUGAAAAUGUAGAGCCACGAGAUAAAAGCAGCUUGGAUGGCUGACUCAUAUACAAGGACAACUGCCUGAGAGUCACCAGGGCUAUCAAGAAGUUUGCAGAAACAAGAAAUAAACUUUUACUGUUUUAAACUUUUGUGAAUUUUGGGUUUUGUUUAUCACCAAAUAAACCUAGUCUAUUCUGAUUGUUAUAAGUGGUUAAUUUGGGAAGUCAGAUAUAUUUAAAAUUGGCUUACUGCUGUAACAUAUACAGUCCAAAUUACAUAAUGGCUCAAAUGCAAUAGAAGUCUUUUUUUUUUUUGCUCACAUAUCACUUCACUGAGAUUCUGCAUUAAUUGUAAUGAUGAGGGUGAGGGUGUCUUAUAUCAUACAGUUGUUCAGCAACCCAGGAUGACCAACUUUGUAAUAUUUUUUCCCACUGGCUUCUAAAGUUCUCAUAGAUAGUAAAAUUCAUUUGGAAGAAGGAGAAACAGCAUGGAGGAUUGCAGAUGGAGAUUUUUAUGGGAAGGCUUGGAGGUUUGGAGGUUACACAUUACUACUUUUACUUGUUGGCUAGGAAACUAUCACGUGGUCACACCUAAGUGCCAGUGAGUCUGACAAUGUGGCAAUUUGGUUGCGGGCCAGGGGUAAGAGGCAAUAAAUUUUGCUCAAUAAUUAUCAGUUUUUGCCACAGAUGGAGGGACUUUUCAUUGUAUAACUAGUUGUUACUGUUUGAAUUUAAAACAGGAAAAUAUCAUUUUCAAAUAAAAACACAAAAGUGGCACAAAAAAUUCUUAUGAUUUUUUUUGCUUGAAUUUUGUGCAUUUAUUUGGCUAUUAUUAAAGUAAAUAAUUCUCUUUAUAGAAAAUGUAGAAAAUAACAAAAAAUAAAUAAGCAGAAAGUCAUCCAAUAACCCCCAUGAUCCCAGCAUAAUAAUCUUUUUUAAGGUAACUGAAAUGACCAUCCUUCUUUUACAAUUGCAAACGCUAACACCCAGGGAUUUUAAGAAAUUUGUCAACUCUAGUAAGUGGUAGAGCACAGAGAAAAGAAAAGCCAGGGAAGCUUUUACAGAGCAGGAGACAAGGAUAGAAAAGGACUUAUGAAUGGGGAAACACAAUUGACAAAUUAUUUUAAAAUAUUGCAGGUUUAAUCGCAUGGAGAGAGAGAGCAUAGAACACGAGAAAUAUACCAAAACAACAGAGGUAAUGACCUCAGCUUUAGAGAUUUCCCAUUUUAUUAUAGUUUUAUUUCCAUUUAGAUAUGUCAUUUAGAUAUUAAGGUGUCACUGUCCAAUAAGGCAGUAUGAACCUGGGUUCUGGAUGAAGACUAGUCGGGAUAUUGUGUCAAUGACAGUAAUUGAAGGCACUGGUGUUAAAGGCUGUAGAUAGAGUUGUGAUGAGUCAGAAUUUUGAGCAAUUUAAAAGUUAGAUGUUGUACAGAUUGUUGAAGGCUAGAAUUGUUUUUUGUUUUUUUGUUUGUUUGUUUGUUUCUUUUCUUAAAACCCUGGCCCAUUUCCCUGAAGAGCUCCCACUGGAAAAGUCAUAGUUGGAUAUGGUGUGAGAAGCUGGCCAGGAUUCGAAAUGGUGAAUGUGGCAACCCGUUGGCUGCCUGGUAUAAAAUACAUCCAGGUGUUCAAUUCUGAGCUCCAAGGCUAACUAUUAUUAUUAACUAUAGUGUGCAUCCAUUCCUAUAAAUAUCAGAAGACUGGGAACUCAGAUAGCUUAUUUUGCUCCUGAAUCUGUUACUGAGUAGCAAUAUGAACUAAAAAAAUUAUUUUUCCAAGCAGGGCUUAGAUUUCCUCGUAUCUAAAAUGAGAAGAAUAGAAUAAAUAAUUUAACUACCCAGCUCUGAAACCCAGACUCCAUGAUAAGAAUAAGCAUUUUCCCAAACUCCAAAACUUAGUAUUCUUUUAUAGAAAUUAUUACUUUCUUCUUCAUCCCCUGGUCUCUGCAUAAAC
rnacentral:lncRNA from 1 species